rnacentral:tRNA from 1 species
GCCCGCCUGGCGAAAUGACAGACGCGCCGGCCUUAGGUGCCGGUGCCCAAAAGGGCGUGCGGGUUCAAGUCCCGCGGCGGGUA